rnacentral:rRNA from 1 species
GGGUCAGUAGGUUGGUCGUGCCACCGGUACGUACUGGUCUCACUGAUUCCUCCUUCCUGAAGAACCGUAAUGCCAUUAAUUCGGUGUUGCGGGGAAACAGGACUGUUACUUUGAAAAAAUUAGAGUGUUUAAAGCAAGCUAACGCGUGAAUACAUUAGCAUGGAAUAAUGAAAUAGGACGAUCGAUCCUAUUUUGUUGGUUUCUAGGAUUGACGUA